rnacentral:rRNA from 1 species
UACGUAGGGAGCAAGCGUUGUCCGGAAUCAUUGGGCGUAAAGCGCGCGUAGGCGGCCCUGUAAGUCCGUUGUGAAAGUCAAAGGCUCAACCUUUGAAAGCCGAUGGAUACUGCAGGGCUAGAGUCCGGAAGAGGCGAGUGGAAUUCCUGGUGUAGCGGUGGAAUGCGCAGGAUAUCAGGAGGAACACCGGUGGCGAAGGCGGUUCUCUGGGACGGUACUGACGCUGAGACGCGAAAGCGUGGGGAGCGAACAGG